UUCCAGCUCCAGUAGCGUAUAUUAAUGUUGUUGCAGUUAAAAAGCUCGUAGUUGGAUUUCUGACUUGACGCGCCCGGCCCGCCUUGCAUUUCGCGGGUGAGUGCCGGAGCGCGUCGGUCAUCCUUCUAGAGAACGGCGCUACCCUUCACUGGGUCGGCGUCGCAAUCUAGAUCUUUUACCUUGAAAAAAUUAGAGUGUUCAAGGCAGGCUCGCGCUGUGAAUACAUUAGCAUGGAAUAAUGAUCUAGGACUUUGUUCCUAUUUUGUUGGUUUCUAGGAAUUAAGUAAUGAUUGAUAGGGAUAGUUGGGGGUGCUAGUAUUCAGCGGCCAGAGGUGAAAUUCUUGGAUUCGCUGAAGACUAACUUAUGCGAAAGCAUUUGCCAAGGAUGUUUUCAUCA
rnacentral:rRNA from 1 species